UACGUAGGGGGCUAGCGUUGUCCGGAAUCAUUGGGCGUAAAGAGCGCGUAGGCGGUCCGAUAAGUCGGCUGUGAAAGUCAGGGGCUCAACCCUUGAAAGCCGGCCGAUACUGUCGGACUAGAGUCCGGAAGAGGCAAGUGGAAUUCCCGGUGUAGCGGUGAAAUGCGCAGAUAUCGGGAGGAACACCAAGGGCGAAGGCAGCUUGCUGGGACGGUACUGACGCUGAGGCGCGAAAGCGUGGGGAGCAAACAGG
rnacentral:rRNA from 1 species